rnacentral:pre_miRNA from 4 species
AGAGCUUAGCUGAUUGGUGAACAGUGACUGGUUUCCGCUUUGUUCACAGUGGCUAAGUUCUGC